rnacentral:lncRNA from 1 species
CGCCAAGUAAACAAUUUUCAGUAUUAGUCUCGUAUGGAUGGAGUUAAAGGAAGCGGUCUUAAUUGAGCCUCAAUCGUCACAGUCUACCCGUACUUCUGAACGAUAAAUCACCAUAUGAGGUGCUUAUCGCUGCGCCUUGGAGCAUUGUGGAAUUCGUGAUCGGACGGAUGCUAUUACCCCGUCACUGAGGCACUGCCAGAUUGGUAAAUUCUACCGGCAUCUAUUCCCGUGGUGAUUCUGAGGCGAUUCGUCUCGCUUGGAGCUCUAUACUCACUCAUAUCAGGGGAAGAAGUAUGAGCUCGGAACACUCAGCGGCAAAAGUUGGAGAAAUCUUCAAUAAGGCAGGGGCAGCCUUCACUCACCUGGGAGAACUCUGCCUUCAGGUGUAUGCAGCGACUGACGAUUUCCGGGAAUACGAUAGGCUCAACUCGUCGCAAGGAUCACAUUUCGAGAAUGCGGCGCUGAUCUCGGACGGCGUUUCUAGAAACACCGUAGGCAAUGAAGUCGACGUAGAGCGACUCAACGAUCGAUGAUAUCGUCGUCCCAUGCUUCUCUUCAUCAGAGCUCCUAUCAGCGAGAGUUCCGCUCGGUGAGCUUGUCCAGCCCCCAAGCGGGCAGGCAC